AACGAACGCUGGCGGCAGGCCUAACACAUGCAAGUCGAACGAACCGUUUACGGUGAGUGGCGCACGGGUGAGUAACACGUGGGAAUAUACAUUUCGGUAAAGAAUAACGUAGAGAAAUUUACGCUAAUACCUUAUAAUGACUACGGUCCAAAGAUUUAUCGCCGAAGGAUUAGCCCGCGUUAGAUUAGGUAGUUGGUGGGGUAAUGGCCUACCAAGCCUACGAUCUAUAGCUGGUCUUAGAGGAUGAUCGGCCACACUGGAACUGAGACACGGUCCAGACUCCUACGGGAGGCAGCAGUGAGGAAUAUUGCGCAAUGGGGGAAACCCUGACGCAGCCAUGCCGCGUGAGUGACGAAGGCCUUAGGGUUGUAAAGCUCUUUCAGAUGUAAAGAUAAUGACGGUAACAUCAGAAGAAGCUCCGGCUAAAUUCGUGCCAGCCGCCGCGGUAA
rnacentral:rRNA from 1 species